CUUUCCCACAGGCCGCCGGCUUCUGGAGGCGCAGAUGGAUCGUGUGUCCAGCAGGUGGCGCCGCGGCCCGACUCGGGCGCCCCAGCAGAACCAGCCUGCCAGUUGAGUCUGUGCCAGGCUGGAGAGCGGGGCGCGGGCAGUAGGUACCUGAAGCGAGGCUCGGCCGGAGGCUUCGGGCAGAGAUGUGCUGCUGUCAGUCGGGCAGGCCAGCUUUAGCGGCUCAGCCCUGCAGGUCACUUCCAGUUAUGGGACUUCCGCCCACUUUACAGGGCUUUGACUCUUGGGUCUGAAGAAGGCACCAGCCCCUGCUAAAUUCUGAGCAUUGACACCAGUGGAAGCCUCAUCCUCAGACUUGGAAGAAGGUGGUCUAGAGAUUUCCUGCCUUCUGAAGCUUGUCUGGGAGGCAGGAAGACCACGGCGGAGGAGAAAGGAGCACUUCUACACACCUCCUCACUGACACCCCUGCCUGCCUUUGUCAGACCUUCGGAGGAGGCACUCCAUGGAGAAAGGGCUCCAGCUGACACUCUGAGUUGUGCAGCGUGGGGUGGGGUCCGGAAGAUGUACUAUUCCAGGAAACGAUUCUACUCCAAGAUGGGGGGGCCAGCAGAAUCGCCCAGGCCAGGCUGUGGCAGAUGAGCCGUCCCUCUUACAGGCAGGUGAAUCGGGAGCUGUCCCUCUGCCUGGAAUACUCCCCUAAGGCCCUCCACA
rnacentral:lncRNA from 10 species